UCUGUAUCAUAGAUGAGCUUAAUGUAUCACCUUCCAGGUGUGGCUGUGGUAUCCCAUGUGUAAAUAAGGUGGCAGAGAGGAGAGAAGCUAUGUGUACACACCAUGUUCUGACCGAUGAAUAUCUGAGUGAUUAAUAGCACAACAUU
ensembl:snoRNA Gm26307 predicted gene, 26307